UCAUUGGGGAAAGAAGACCCUUUUGAGCUUGACUCCAGUCUGACAUUGUUCGGAGACAUGCCGAGGUGUAGCAUAGGUGGGAGUUGAGGAUCAAUACGGCGGUUUUAAACGAUCGUCGUACCUCGACGUCUUUGAAAUACCACUACUCGCAUCGUUUCCUUACUUACUCGGUGAUGCGGAGCGCGUGUUGUUUGGUCCGUGGCUUUGGCCGAAGUUGUUCAACUUGAUCGGACGACGAGCGCGAUCGUGUUCGUUUUCUGUUCGCCGAUGAGCCCGGAACGGCGAACGGUAAAAACUCUCGUAUACGAUCUUGCGAUAGCUUUCUGCGUUUGUUUCUCAUCAACGGGCCGGUGUUGUAUGUAAUCUCUCGCAUUUAUGCGUGUUGGAUUCGUGCAAUCCGGUUCCGGGGGAACAGACCUUUAAGUUAUACGCUUGUCACUGGUAUCGGGGGUCGUUCGUUCGUGACCGGGGCAAAACUUGUCUCGGACGGAUUUCGUUCGCGUCGUCUUGCAGUCUGUAUCAUUUCGACUUUGCGUCGGGCCCGUCGUGGCCGGCAAUCACGAUCGGUUCCCAGUCGCUUUAAGCGCAAACGCGUCGCCUGCUCGUUCUCCCAGUCUACGGUCGUCUUCGCGCUUUUAAACGUGCAGUCGAUCGCCUGGGAAACCUGGUGUCGUUGCGUGAUCCGAUCCGAGGACACCGUCAGGUAGGGAGUUUAUCUGGGGCGGAAUAUCUGUCAAAGAAUAACGCAGGUGUCCUAAGGCCAGCUCAGCGAGGACGGAAACCUCGCGUAGAGCAAAAGGGCAAAAGCUGGCUUGAUCCCGGACGCCCAGUACGCGUAGGGACUGCGAAAGCAUUGGCCUUUCGAUCCUCUCGUCU
rnacentral:rRNA from 1 species